rnacentral:sRNA from 1 species
CGGCGAGCAACCGCCGAGCUCGGUGGCAGUCAAGGUUUUCACAUCCUUUCUGUGAGUUUUGCCAUCUGUAGCUUUUAUCAACAAUUGUGGUUUAAUCAAUUAGAAAUAUUAACCAGGAGAAAAUGUCAAAUCUAAAAAUGAAAGAGGCGGCCCUCAUCUAUCUUGACAGAAGUGGAGGCCUCCAAAAGUUUAUAGAUGAUUGCAAGUACUACAAUGAUUCAAAACAAAGCUAUGCUGUCUAUCGAUUCAAAAUUUUAAUAAAUCCCUCUGAUGUUGUUGAAUUAGAUGCUGAGCUUGGAAAUCACAUUUUACACCAACCUUUAAAAGCUGCUGAAGUUUUUCAAUCAGUAAGUCAAAGAAAGAAAUAAUUUCAUGCCACAUGGAAUUUUUGGUAACUUUUUUUGUUUGAAAUCACAGGUCUGUUUUAUUGCUGUUAAGACUCUCUCAUUAAUUGGACAAUUGCAGACUGAAACGCAAAUUAAUAUAGUGCUGAAAUUAACACAUUUACCUCCCCUGCCAAGUUAUGGUCUUGAUCUUUGUGAGUUUCCACUUGAUUAUACAUCUCAGAGAUUUUAUAUGAUGCAAGGAAUUGUGAUUGCAAUGACAACUGUAACCAAGUAUACACAAGGGGCAAGAUUUCUUUGUUCAGAUGAAGCAUGCCCUCUUUCAAAAGGAUUUCAGUAUAUAAGAGUGCAUGUGCCUGGUGCUACAGAAUCUGCAACGAUAAGAAAUGACUUUUUGUGUAAUCUAUGUGCAUCUUCACUUCAAGAAGACAGAAAAUUUAGAGUACUUGGUGGUAAUAUGCAUUUAUAUUUUGUAAUUAUAAU